GUAUUGCUGAAGCCUGGCUUGGAGAAUUUUGAGCAUUACUUUACUAGCAUGUGAGAUGAGUGCAAUUGUGUGGUAGUUUAAGCAUUCUUUGGCAUUGCCUUUCUUUGGGAUUGGAAUGAAAACUGACCUUUUCCAGUCCUAUGGCCACUGCUGAGUUUUCGAAAUUUGCUGGCAUAUUGAGUGCAGCACUUUCACAGCAUCAUCUUUCAGGAUUUGAAAUAGCUCAACUGGAAUUCCAUCACCUCCACUAGCUUUGUUUGUAGUGAUGCUUUCUAAGGCCCACUUGACUUCACAUUACAGGAUGUCUGUCUCUAGGUGAGUGAUUACACCAUUGUGAUUAUCUUGAUCAUGAAGAUCUUUUUGUACAGUUCUUCUGUGUAUUCUUUCCACCUCUUUUUAAUAUCUUCUGCUCCUGUUAGGUCCAUACCAUUUCUGUCCUUUAUCGAGCCCAUCUUUGCAUGUAGUGUUCCCUUGGUAUCUCUAAUUUUCUUGAAGAGAUCUCUAGUCUUUCCCAUUCUGUUGUUUUCCUGUAUUUCUUUGCAUUGAUCUCUGAGGAAGGCUUUCUUAUCUCUUCUUGCUAUUCUUUGGAACUGUGCAUUCAGAUGCUUAUAUCUUUCCUUUUCUCCUUUGCUUUUCGCUUCUCUUCUUUUCACAGCUAUUUGUAAGGCCUCUCCAGACAGCCAUUUGGUUUUUUGCAUUUAUUUUCCAUGGGGAUGGUCUUGAAUGUCCUUCUUUUGAAAUGAUGGAAAGUCAAGAGAACAAAAAGCAACAUGCCAGCUUGCACCAAGGACCAUUCUUUGCUAGGAAAACCAGCUCUGUUUGGAUCCCCAGCAAAACUAUUGCCCUGAGAAGCUACCCAGGCCUAAAGUUUCCUAAUGUCCCUGCUGCUGCUGCUACUAAAUCACUUCAGUCGUGUCCGACUCUGCAACCCCAUAGACGACAGCCCACCAGGCUCCACCGUCCCUGGGAUUCUCCAGGGAAGAACACUGGAGUGGGUUGCCAUUUCCUUCUCCAAUGCAUGAAAGUGAAAAGUGAAAGUGAAGUCACUCAGUUGUGUCUGACUCUUCCGGCAGCCUACCAGGCUCCUCCAUCAUGGAAUUUUCCAGGCAAGAGUCCUGGAGUGGGGUGCCAUUGCCUUCUCCACCUUCUCCUCCUAAUGCCCCUAAAUUUCCCUAUAAGUGUGUUUAAGGAAGGCCACUCUUUCCAGGUGGCACAGUGGUAA
rnacentral:lncRNA from 1 species